CCUACGGGUGGCAGCAGUGAGGAAUAUUGGUCAAUGGGCGCGAGCCUGAACCAGCCAAGUAGCGUGAAGGAUGACUGCCCUACGGGUUGUAAACUUCUUUUAUAAAGGAAUAAAGUGAGGCACGUGUUCCUUUUUGUAUGUACUUUAUGAAUAAGGAUCGGCUAACUCGGGGCCAGCAGCCGCGGUAAUACGGAGGAUCCGAGCGUUAUCCGGAUUUAUUGGGUGUAAAGGGAGCGUAGAUGGGUUGUUAUGUCAGUUGUGAAAGUGUGGGGCUCAACCGGAAAAUUGCAAUUGAUCCUGGCGGCCUUGAGUACAGUUGAGGUAGGGGGAAUUCGUGGUGUAGCGGGGAA
rnacentral:rRNA from 1 species